rnacentral:rRNA from 1 species
CACGUAGGGCGCAAGCGUUGUCCGGAAUUAUUGGGCGUAAAGAGCUCGUAGGCGGUCUGUUGCGUCCGCUGUGAAAACUCGGGGCUUAACCCCGAGCCUGCAGUGGAUACGGGCAGACUAGAGGUAGGUAGGGGAGAAUGGAAUUCCCGGUGUAGCGGUGAAAUGCGCAGAUAUCGGGAGGAACACCGGUGGCGAAGGCGGUUCUCUGGGCCUUACCU